GUAAAUCCAAGUGGAAUGACUUAAUAGGCGUUUUGAGCGUUGAAAUAAAUAUUAAUAAAUGACAUGUUAUAAUUUGUAAGUUAUUGAAAUUUUGUAAUGGAAUGCUUAACUGAUUUACAUUAAAGUAAAAUCAAAAUAUUUUCUGUAGCGAUAGUAAAAUAUCUAGUGUUGUGUCACAAGAAUGCUUAAAAAGUACUUAUAAUCUCCCAUACCGCAUCAAAUAAUGAGAUAGAAUCUGCGUUGCUUGAAUUUUGAAAAUUCCGCUAAUUCUUUCAACGCUCACUUCGACUCACCUCUUUACAAACGUCGUCGUAAACGUUAGUCAUGACGUCAUGAGGAACUUUAAUAUUUCAAUCUUAAUAAUAGACCAAAACUUCAAUACAAUUAAUAACUAAAAUUGGGUUGCUGUAUUAGAGUUCUCAGAAGUGCAUAAUGAAAUAAUUACAAAUAGAUUUAGCACACAAAACAAAAAAAUGCGGAGGUAUGGAAAGAAUUGACCACAAAAUUACAUAGUCUGGGCCAAGGUGAAAGAUCUGUAGAAAAAUGGAAAAAAAAUUGCAGACUGGAAGUCUAAAACUGAAGCCAAAUCGGAUAAUAUGUAUAAAUAUAAUCAUGAUACCGGUGGAAGUCCUACUAUUAAUAUAACGCUCUCCAUCCUAUAGAAAAAACUUUAAAACUUAAUAGGACUUAUAGCAGCUCAUUGUGAUAAAAGUGUUACUGAUAAAGCCACUGAAGAUUUGUACACAGGACAGUUAUUUAUUAUCUAUCAAAUCAUGAAAUUGAUCAAAAGAAGCAGAUCAGAUUGUUGAAAAAAUAAUUUUUGACUACAGUGAUGGCCCUUCAAUAUAGAACAAUGUGCUGUCAGAAAUAAAGUUUACAACAAAUAGUCACUCUAAAAGAAAUAUUGAAAAAACAAAAAAUAGUUCAGACAAUAGUAAAGUUGAUUUGAACAGUGUGCAUGGAGAUAUGUUAAAGAUAUGUGUCAAAAGGUCGAUAAUACAAAAUAUAUUAGAAUGUUCAACUGGUUCUUGUAAAAGAAUGAUGCCUGGAGGAAAGUGUUAGACCUUCAAAGACAUUACAACAUAUAUCUUUGGGUACUUUUCAUUUAAACCUGUACGAAGAGUUUUCCAACUUUUGUUUUAAAUUCUCAUUGAAACUCUUAUUGUUUAAAUAACUAUUAAUAGUACGUUUGACUUUUGUUAUAUUAAUGAAAGUUCAUUUUAUUAAAUAUCAGCAUAUUUCUGACUUCCAGUAGAAUAUAUAACUAGGUAACAAUACGAGGUUUGUCACAAAAUAAUCGAGCUUACCUCAUAUUCUCCGUGUCAAAACAUCCGAGCGAUCUCUAUAGGAAAUGAGCGUCAUCAAUAAGUAUUCACGAAUUCGUUGAUAAUCGCAGUUAUCUCAUAGAGUUAAUACUAAAGAUAGAGAGAGAUGGGAGCUUGUUUUAGUGGGCCCGGAAUGCGUAUAGAGGGAGAAAGAAUAUUGGUAUACCACUCUCUAUACGCUAUUCUGAUUGAAUCGCCAUCACGUAUAAGUUUUGAGUGGUGAGAACGGCAGAGGAGGAGAGUAACAAGUUUUGAUUUCAAUCAUAUACGUAAUACUCCUAUAUGGACAGUUGGUAUGGGAAAAAACGUCCCUAUGUUACGGUGUUGACAAUAUUCAUUUUCUCUUUCGUUCGAGAGACUUUAUGAAUAGUGCGUAUGCUUGAGAACGCGCAGAACCGAGCUGGAACCUUUGAGUAUUGAGAAAUCGUUUCCCUGCUCUCUUCCUUAGUCGGAACAGCUCCCACUUUAGAAACUGUCCAUAUAGAAGCAUUACAUAUAUGAUUUCAAUAGCGAGUAGAGGAAAUUGAGAGUGAUAAAUAGAAGCUCUUUAUCUCUUUUCCAAUAGUACAAUUCUCUCUAUCUUUAAUAUAAAAUCUAUGAGGUAUCUACUGCACAGGUAUGUUACUGAUAGCCAUUCUGUUCUGAAAAAAAUUACUGAGAAACUAUGUCAACGAAGUUUUUCUUCAAACCUGGAAAAACUAACUAGUUUAUUAUAAGUAUCCAAUUAUAGGGAUGAUCCAGAAAGAAAGCGACAAGUUUCAUAAGACCAAAAAAAUUCGUCGGAGCCAAGACAAGACAAUACUCAUUGUUGUCUUUGAUUGUAAACGAAUAUCCUUGGGAUGCACGAUGUUUUGGCAGGGCGAUGCGACGCGAGCGUCAUCUAUUGAGCAGUCAUGUCAAGGUGUUGGCCAUGUUGUUGAUGCAUUUCGAGGAAAAUUUACAUACCGGACCAUUGCUAAUAAUUAAUGUUUAAUGAUAGUGAGACAUUGACUCAUCAUGACUAUGAACGCUAUCAAAGUUCAGGAGUGUGGUUGAAAGAAGAUAAGGACCGAUGUGACCGAAUUAGACAGGCUGGAGUACCUAGUUUUCCACACGAACUUCACGACCAAAGAAGCUCUGAAGAAUUGCAAGAGUUUAAAAGCUCACAAUUUCCUCACCUCAAACCUUGUAUUUCCUCCUCGUGUAAAAGUGCUGCCAGGGGAACUUAUUGCAAGGUUCGUAUUCCACCUGUUGUGCAUGCGGCACCAUAAUGUGCUUAUUUCCCCUCGUUCGUCUGGAAUCAGGAUUUCAAAUUUUGUCUUAAUGUCCGAGUAACUUUUUUUCUCACUUUCAUUGGUUUCAAUUCUCCUAAAUCAUUUUAUGUGUGUCCCUAUCUUUCCAAUCGAUGAAACAAUUUACAACUGAAGUUUAUGUCUUGCGUCACCAGGAGUAAUUGAGAUUUUUUUCAGAUAUUUACAUAUCAAAUUAAUAAAUUCAAAGUCUCAGUUUAUCUUUGACAUUUCGAUAUUUCCAGUGUUUUAAGGAGUCUUGUCCAGACUCAUUAUUUCCUGUGCGAAAAAUCCAAAUUUUGUUUAUAUUCAUGUUUAACGUUUUCAUUGGGAAUAUGGAUUGAUGAUGUGUAUAGACAUCAAUCUAGACUUUUGAAAAAACUAAAAAAUCGAAAUUAGGCGUAAUGUUAAAUAGCAGAUAAUAUAUGUGAGCGGUCGAAGUGUUUUCACGCGCCCCACGACUCGUUUUUUAAUUUGACGAGGUAUUUAUCUGUCCCAUGAAUACACUUCACUACAGCGCAGUUCACCAUCUUUUACUGAUUCUUUCAAAUAAUUGAAAGACAAAGGUAUGGUGCUAUGAUCACCCUGGUUUGUUUACGAAAAAUGCAUCAACAAUAUGGCCGACACCCAGUUGUAUCUGGCCGCUAGAUGGUGCUCGCGUUUCAUGGGGCAAAAAAUGCCUCGUGAACCACAAGAAUCCUCCAUUUCACGCGGUUACUAUAGAAUAUUACCCUGAAGUAGUGAAAAGAUUGUAUAAUGCAAUCAGAAGAAAACGGCUACAGCUUCGGAGAAGUGCGCUGAUUGGCUACUUUACCACAUUUUGUAGCUCUUUCAUCCUUCAUAAAGUCCAUACGCAGCUCUCUACGGUUCACGACCCCUUCAUAGAUUAGAAAUGCCGUCAGCCGACACCUGUUGGAUGACAAAGAAACCGUCGAAAUUGAUGUGAUGUAAUUUCAUCAAAAAAUAGACAAGAUAUAAAAAGUAACUUUGAUUUCUCAAUUUAAAAAUACCUAUAAAUACUGAAAUAUUUUAACCAAUCUCUCAAUACAUGUUGAUAAAAUAACAGAAUUAGCUUUUCACCACCUUUAUACUGUUCCAAACAGUCCAUGUCCAAUGGUUUGCUAUCCCAAAUAUAAAUUGUAUAUCAGUAUAUGAUUAGAUCUUCUCUUCCACUCAACACAAUUUUUCAAAUGUUUGUAAUGACCUUAGCUCAAACUGCCCAUCCACUUGCAGCCUUCAUUUCUAGCUUCUGUUUCAGGUUGCUUGAAAAAGUAUUUGUUCCAGAUUGACAUUAAAAACAAGUUUGCAAGUUCCAUCGGGGUUUUUAUGAAGCUCUCUACACCAGCCAUUUCUCAGUAACAUUAAAUGAAUCAGGAGCUUGUCCGUAUUAUCUGAGAGAUAUGACAAUAAUAAUAAGAUAUAAAAAGUAAAAAGAUAAAAAGGUAUUCAAAGGAAAGGGAAACAAAAAAAGAUUAAUAUUUUUAUUCUCCCUACAGGAUACAUUGUAUAAUACAUUAAAGUCAGUAAUAAAUAGAAAACCAUUUUAAUAAUUACACAAAAUUUUCAGUCAGUAUAAAUAAAUAACAUUUUUUUAGUAGUCUAACUAUAGUCAUAACUAUAGUAGUGAUAUGUUCUAGAAAAAAAACAUUACUUUGAAUCAUUAAAAUAAUAUAUUGCAAAUUAAGUAAUAAAACAGUGAAAGUAAAUGAAAACCUCCAAUUUUCCAGGUUUCUGAGUAAUUGUAUUAAACGAGGAACACAAAUUAUUUGUUGAAUACAAUUCUUAAAUUUGAAGUUUUGAGGAUUUCAGUCUUAUACUUAAGUGACUUGUUGAAUAUAUAGGGUGAUUACUGUUUUUCUACAAUAUAAAAAAUUUUAUUAUAAAAAUUAAAAAUAAUAAAUCCCUAUUUGAUAUUA